rnacentral:rRNA from 1 species
UACGUAGGGUGCGAGCGUUAAUCGGAAUUACUGGGCGUAAAGCGUGCGCAGGCGGCGCCGCAAGUCAGGCGUGAAAUCCCCGAGCUUAACUUGGGAAUGGCGCUUGAAACUACGGUGCUGGAGUGUGGCAGAGGGAGGUGGAAUUCCACGUGUAGCGGUGAAAUGCGUAGAGAUGUGGAGGAACACCGGUGGCGAAGGCGGUUCUCUGGGCAUGUCCUGACGCUGAGGAGCGAAAGUGUGGGGAGCGAACAGG